ACGGACCGAGAGGCUGCACAGAAGGAGGCGUUUUUGGAAGGAAGCAGUGGCUCCCUGCCAGCCUCUGCUGAAGAAACAGAGGCGAUGCAAGCCAACGGCAUGCCAGGGCUGUCAAAGGCCGGAGGAGACCACCAUGGCAGCGUAUAUGAAUUUUUCCGCACAGACUCAGGUGUGGCUGGCGAGACAAUCCCAAGCGUUUCCAACCCCCAGAGCACCGCAAGUUUUUUCUGUCCCCAAGAUGUGCGAAGACGCUGUAUGAUAGGCACAGCAGCAGUCGUGAUUUCCGUGCCACUUGCAAUAGCGUUGUGCUAUGUCAUGAUCCGACGGCGGAGAAAUAGAAGACGGCAUGCCUCUGCAGCUUCAGAAGCCCGCCGGGAAACCAGCAGAUACCCCUCGCGCCCGCAGAGCCGGACCCGCCGGCCCAGCACCCCUGAGAGCUGGACCCAACGCCAGCGGCCGCCACUUGUGCAUGGGAAACCGGCACGCCCGCCCUCCCCACGGCCCCCCCGCCCCCCGAGCCUGAUGGUCCGGCCCCCCAG